rnacentral:rRNA from 1 species
GACGAACGCUGGCGGCGUGCUUAACACAUGCAAGUCGAGCGAGAGAAGUUCCUUCGGGAAGGACUCUAGCGGCGGACAGGUGAGUAACACGUGGGUAACCUGCCUCAUAGAGGGGAAUAGCCUUUCGAAAGGAAGAUUAAUACCGCAUAAGAUUGUAGUAUCGCAUGAGACAGCAAUCAAAGGAGUAAUCCGCUAUGAGAUGGACCCGCGUCGCAUUACCUAGUUGGUGAGGUAACGGCUAACCACGGCGACGAUGGGUAGCCGACCUGAGAGGGUGAUCGGCCACAUUGGGACUGAGACACGGCCCAGACUCCUACGGGAGGCAGCAGUGGGGAAUAUUGCACAAUGGGGGAAACCCUGAUGCAGCAACGCCGCGUGGGUGAUGACGGUCUUCGGAUUGUAAAACUCUGUCUUCAGGGACGAUAAUGACGGUACCUGAGGAGGAAGCCACGGCUAACUACGUGCCAGCAGCCGCGGUAAGAC